GAUGAACGCUGACCGAAUGCUUAACACAUGCAAGUCAACUGUGGCGGACGGGUGAGUAACGCGUAAAGAACUUGCCUCACAGCUAGGGACAACAUUUGGAAACGAAUGCUAAUACCUGAUACUGUGAGAGAGCUUUGCGUCCCAUUAGCUAGUUGGAGAGGUAACGGCUCACCAAGGCGAUGAUGGGUAGCCGGCCUGGGAGGGUGAUCGGCCACAAGGGGACAGGGACACGGCCCUUACUGCUACGGGAGGAAGCAGUGGGGAAUAUUGGACAAUGGACCAAAGUCUGAUCAAGCAAUUCUGUGUGCACGAUGAAGUUUUCGGAAUGAAAAGUGCUGUCAGUUGGGAAGCGGUACCAACAGAAGAAGUGACGGCUAAAUACGUGCCAGCAGCCGCGGUAAUUC
rnacentral:rRNA from 1 species